UACGGAGGGUGCAAACGUUGCUCGGAAUCACUGGGCGUAAAGGGCGCGUAGGCGGCCGAUCAAGUCGGGGGUGAAAGCCUGUGGCUCAACCACAGAAUUGCCUUCGAUACUGUUUGGCUUGAGACCGGAAGAGGUUAGUGGAACUGCGAGUGUAGAGGUGAAAUUCGUAGAUAUUCGCAAGAACACCAGUGGCGAAGGCGGCUGACUGGUCCGGUUCUGACGCUGAGGCGCGAAAAGCGUGGGGAGCAAACAGGAUUA
rnacentral:rRNA from 1 species